rnacentral:rRNA from 1 species
UACGUAGGGUGCGAGCGUUGUCCGGAAUUAUUGGGCGUAAAGGGCUCGUAGGCGGUUUGUCGCGUCGGGAGUGAAAACCAUGGGCUUAACUUAUGGCUUGCUUUCGAUACGAGCAGACUAGAGGUAUGCAGGGGAGAACGGAAUUCCUGGUGUAGCGGUGAAAUGCGCAGAUAUCAGGAGGAACACCGGUGGCGAAGGCGGUUCUCUGGGCAUGAUCUGACGCUGAGGAGCGAAAGUGUGGGGAGCGAACAGG